CCUCAAGUGCCUGGGUCUUGAGCUUGCGAGUGGAUAGCUUUCGGCUGCGGUAGGAAACAGAAAUACUUGUUGAGCAAGUACCCUAUUUUUGAAGAUCAAAGAUGUUACUAAGCAGUGUACUUGUGUUGGCUUCCUACUCUGAAGACGUUCCCAUAUUUUAAAAAUGCUCUUCAGACAUUCUCCAACGUCUUCUCAACAUAUACUAAUGUUCAGGUUGGUAGGUGCAGCAGUGUAAACAUAGAAUAAAUAUUUGGAAAUGUCUUAGAUGUGUUUAUUGCCACAGAGAAAUUUAUAACCAUGCUCUUGAAAGUGCAGUUCAAACUAUUUCUUAUUUAUGCCCUAUCUUCAUAUCUUUUAGUCACCCUGCUUUGAGUUUCCUGGGUGCAGGAAUUACCUCUUAUUCUGAAAUCCCCACUGCCUAGCCCUGUGUGGGAGCUAGUAGGCAAUCUUUUAUGUCAUUUACAAGGUCUUACUAGAGCCAUCUCUUCGAUUGCCAGCCUUCAGCUACACUCCUUUCAUUGCCAGAAAAUAUUCUGGACUCCAUUACUUCCAUUUUCGGGACUUCCAUUUAUCCAGGGUAAGCCUUCCCCAGCUUAUGCUUCACCUCACUAAGGUUGUCUUACUCAGAUAUUGGUUUAAGCCUUCUCUGACCCUGAUGCGAUCAGGUCCUCUUUAUAUUUAUAGAACUAGCACCAUCAAAAUGAAUUGUAUGAUGGUUUGUUGAAUCCCUGUCUUCCCUGGUAGAACUUUAUCAACUCCAUGAUGACUGCAUUGAAUCUGUGUAAAAGGCUGUAUCUUUUCCUGUUGUCAGAGUGUUCUUCAUUCCAUAAUCAUGUAUGGGACAUUAUGUGUGCAUUAAUUAGGAACUGAUUAUCAAGUGGUAUGAAGAUGAAAAUAACCCUUCAUGAGCUUACCUUAUUUAAACCAAAACCCAAAUUCACUGCCAUUGAA